rnacentral:rRNA from 1 species
GUACUCGAGUGGCGAACGGGUGAGUAACACGUGGGUGAUCUGCCCUGCACUUCGGGAUAAGCUUGGGAAACUGGGUCUAAUACCGGAUAGGAGCCAUCUUUAGUGUGGUGGUUGGAAAGUCUUUUCGGUGUAGGAUGAGCUCGCGGCCUAUCAGCUUGUUGGUGGGGUAAUGGCCUACCAAGGCGGCGACGGGUAGCCGGCCUGAGAGGGUGUACGGCCACAUUGGGACUGAGAUACGGCCCAGACUCCUACGGGAGGCAGCAGUGGGGAAUAUUGCACAAUGGGCGCAAGCCUGAUGCAGCGACGCCGCGUGGGGGAUGAAGGCCUUCGGGUUGUAAACUCCUUUCGCUAGGGACGAAGCUUUGUUGUGACGGUACCUAGAUAAGAAGCACCGGCUAACUACGUGCCAGCAGCCGCGGUAAUACGUAGGGUGCGAGCGUUGUCCGGAAUUACUGGGCGUAAAGGGCUCGUAGGUGGUUUGUCGCGUCGUCUGUGAAAUUCUGGGGCUUAACUCCGGGCGUGCAGGCGAUACGGGCAUAACUUGAGUGCUGUAGGGGUAACUGGAAUUCCUGGUGUAGCGGUGAAAUGCGCAGAUAUCAGGAGGAACACCGAUGGCGAAGGCAGGUUACUGGGCAGUUACUGACGCUGAGGAGCGAAAGCAUGGGUAGCGAACAGGAUUAGA